UACGUAGGUGGCGAGCGUUAUCCGGAAUGAUUGGGCGUAAAGGGUGCGUAGGCGGCCUGCUAAGUCUGGAGUGAAAGGUACCGGCUCAACCGGUACAGGCUCUGGAAACUGGGAGACUUGAGUGCAGAAGAGGAGAGUGGAACUCCAUGUGUAGCGGUGAAAUGCGUAGAUAUAUGGAAGAACACCAGUGGCGAAAGCGGCUCUCUGGUCUGUAACUGACGCUGAGGCACGAAAGCGUGGGGAGCAAAUAG
rnacentral:rRNA from 1 species